rnacentral:rRNA from 1 species
AUUCACGCUAGCGGCAGGCAUAAUACAUGCAAGUUGAACGGCAGCACAGGUAGCAAUACUGGGUGGCGAGUGGCGCACGGGUGCGUAACACGUAUGCAACCUACCCUAUACAGGCGAAUAACCUUUAGAAAUGAGGGCUAAUACGCCGUAGUAUUACAGAUGGGCAUCUAUUUGUAAUUAAAGAUUUAUCGGUAUAGGAUGGGCAUGCGUCCCAUUAGUUAGUUGGUAAGGUAACGGCUUACCAAGACGAUGAUGGGUAGGGGAUCUGAGAGGACUUACCCCCACACUGGUACUGAGACACGGACCAGACUCCUACGGGAGGCAGCAGUAAGGAAUAUUGGGCAAUGGCCGCGAGGCUGACCCAGCCAUGCCGCGUGCAGGAAGACGGCCUUAUGGGUUGUAAACUGCUUUUAUACGGGAAUAAUAGAGUGUACGCGUACAUUUAUGCAAGUAUCGUAUGAAUAAGCAUCGGCUAACUCCGUG